rnacentral:rRNA from 1 species
AUACAGAGGUCCCAAGCGUUGUUCGGAUUUACUGGGCGUAAAGAGUGCGUAGGCGGUCGAAAAAGUUUGGUGUGAAAUCUUCGGGCUUAACCCGAAAACUGCAUUGAAAACUAUUUGACUAGAGGAUAGGAGAGGAGAUUGGAAUUCUCAGUGUAGCAGUGAAAUGCGUAGAUAUUGAGAGGAACACCAGUUGCGAAGGCGGAUCUCUGGACUAUUCCUGACGCUCAGGGACGAAAGCGUGGGGAUCAAACAGGAUUAGAUACCCUGGUAGUCCACGCUGUAAACGAUGAUUACUCGUUUUCGGCGAUAUACAGUCGGAGACUAAGCGAAAGUGAUAAGUAAUCCACCUGGGGAGUACGAUCGCAAGGUUGAAACUCAAAGGAAUUGACGGGGCCCGCACAAGCGGUGGAGCAUGUGGUUUAAUUCGUAAGCAACGCGCAGAACCUUACCAGCCCUUGACAUCCCGGUCGCAAAAAGUAGAGAUACUUUUUUCAGUUAGGCUGGACCGGUGACAGGUGC